CAACUUUCAGCAACGGAUCUCGUUGGCUCUCGCAUCUGAUGAAGAACGCAGCGAAAUGCGAUAAGUAAUGUGAAUUGCAGAAUUCAGUGAAUCAUCGAAUCUUUGAACGCAUCUUGCGCUCCUUGGUAUUCUGAGGAGCAUGCCUGUUCUGUAGUGUCAUCUA
rnacentral:rRNA from 1 species